rnacentral:rRNA from 1 species
UACGGGGGGGGCAAGCGUUGUUCGGAAUUACUGGGCGUAAAGGGCGCGUAGACGGCCUUCUAAGUCGGACGUGAAAUCCCUCGGCUUAACCGAGGAACUGCGUCCGAUACUGAAAGGCUUGAAUCCGGGAGAGGGAUGUGGAAUUCCAGGUGUAGCGGUGAAAUGCGUAGAUAUCUGGAGGAACACCGGUGGCGAAGGCGGCAUCCUGGACCGGCAUUGACGCUGAGGCGCGAAAGCUAGGGGAGCAAACGGG